CUUCGGCCCGAGUUGUAAUUUGUAGAGGAUGUUUAUGGUGCAGUACUUUCCGAGUUCCCUGGAACGGGACGCCACAGAGGGUGAGAGCCCCGUCUGGAUUGCUACUAAACCUGUGUUAAACUCCUUCAACGAGUCGAGUAGUUUGGGAAUGCUGCUCUAAAUGGGAGGUAUAUCUCUUCUAAAGCUAAAUAUUGGCCAGAGACCGAUAGCGCACAAGUAGAGUGAUCGAAAGAUGAAAAGCACCUUGAAAAGGGGGUUAAACAGUACGUGAAAUUGUUGAAAGGGAAGCGUUUAUGACCAGACUUGUGCCGUGUGGCUCAUCCGAGGUUCUCCCCGGUGCACUCCACACGGUUCAGGCCAACAUCGGUUUUCGCUGGGGGAUAAGAACAGUAGGAACGUAGCUCCCUUCGGGGAGUGUUAUAGCCUAUUGUACGAUACCCUGGCGGGGACCGAGGACCGCGCUUCGGCAAGGAUGUUGGCGUAAUGGUCAUUAGCGACCCGUCUUGAAACACGGACCAAGGAGUCGUCCAUUAGAGCGAGCGUUUGGGUGUAAAACCCGCACGCGUAAUGAAAGUGAAAUUAGGUGAGAGCUUCGGCGCAUCAUCGACCGAUCCUGAAGUUUACGGACGGAUUUGAGUAAGAGUUUUAACGGACGGACCCGAAAGACAGUGAACUAUGCUUGAAUAGGGUGAAGCCAGAGGAAACUCUGGUGGAGGCUCGCAGCGGUUCUGACGUGCAAAUCGAUCGUCAAAUUUGAGCAUGGGGGCGAAAGACUAAUCGAACUGUUAAAGCUACUAGGCAGUUAAGAGUCACCUAGUAAUAGGUUGGCUAGUAAGUUUACAGACUUGCGACACCGUCAAAUUGCGGGGACCUCCUGUUACGGUUUAUACUACCGCGGCUCAUCGAAAGAUAGAGUGCAGCACCAGGUGUAAUAGCCUGGGUAUGGUAAAAAGGUAUAAGCUAGGGACGAUCCGCAGCCAAGCCCUAAAGCCUGUAAAAAGGCCAUGGGUGCAGUUCACAGACUAGACGGCGGUGGGCUCAGUGACAACUGGGCUUAAGAUAUAGUCGAGACCCCCUAGUAAUAGGUGGGAAA
rnacentral:rRNA from 1 species